rnacentral:rRNA from 1 species
AUUGAACGCUGGCGGCAGGCCUAACACAUGCAAGUCGAGCGGAGCGGCGGACGGGUGGGUAAUGCCUAGGAAUCUGCCUGGUCGUGGGGGAUAACGUCCGGAAACGGGCGCUAAUACAGCAUCCUAUCAGAUGAGCCUAGGUCGGAUGAGCUAGUUGGUGGGGUAAAGGCCUACCAAGGCGACGAUCCGUAACUGGUCUGAGGGGAUGAUCAGUCACACGGGAACUGAGACACGGUCCAGACUCCAACGGGAGGCAGCAGGGGGGAAUAUUGGACAAUGGGCGAAAGCCUGAUCCAGCCUUGCCGCGUGUGUGAAGAAGGUCUUCGGAUUGUAAAGCACUAUAAGUUGGGAGGCGUUACCAACAGAAUAAGCACCGGCUAACUUCGUGCCAGCAGCCGGGGUAAUUC